GGGCCUGUAGCUCAAUUGGUAGAGCGCCGCAUUUGCAAUGCGGAGGUAAGCGGUUCGAAACCGCUCAG
rnacentral:tRNA from 1 species